rnacentral:snoRNA from 1 species
GACCUCCCAGGAUCGCAUCUGGAGAGCCUUUAAUACUCUUCCAGCUUUGGACACGGGAGGGAGAGAAGCUGCAGAAAAGUACCCAUUCCAUUCCUGGCUCUGAACUAAGCUAGUGAUCGGAAGUUACCUCUGCAACAGGC